GGAUAGCUCAGUCAGCUGUAGAGCAUGAGACUCGUAAUCUCAGGGUCAUGGGUCCAAGCCCUGCUGGGCA